UAUCUGGUUGAUUCUGCCAGUAGUCAUAUGCUUGUCUCAAAGANUAAGCCAUGCA
rnacentral:rRNA from 1 species